rnacentral:rRNA from 1 species
AAGGUCCGUGUUCGAAAGGGAAACAGCCCAGACCACCAGCUAAGGUCCCAAAAUAUAUGUUAAGUGGAAAAGGAUGUGGCGUUGCCCAGACAACUAGGAUGUUGGCUUAGAAGCAGCCAUCAUUUAAAGAGUGCGUAAUAGCUCACUAGUCGAGUGACACUGCGCCGAAAAUGUACCGGGGCUAAACAUAUUACCGAAGCUGUGGAUUGUCCUUUGGACAAUGGUAGGAGAGCGUUCUAAGGGCGUUGAAGCAUGAUCGUAAGGACAUGUGGAGCGCUUAGAAGUGAGAAUGCCGGUGUGAGUAGCGAAAGACGGGUGAGAAUCCCGUCCACCGAUUGACUAAGGUUUCCAGAGGAAGGCUCGUCCGCUCUGGGUUAGUCGGGUCCUAAGCUGAGGCCGACAGGCGUAGGCGAUGGAUAACAGGUUGAUAUUCCUGUACCACCUAUAAUCGUUUUAAUCGAUGGGGGGACGCAGUAGGAUAGGCGAAGCGUGCGAUUGGAUUGCACGUCUAAGCAGUAAGGCUGAGUAUUAGGCAAAUCCGGUACUCGUUAAGGCUGAGCUGUGAUGGGGAGAAGACAUUGUGUCUUCGAGUCGUUGAUUUCACACUGCCGAGAAAAGCCUCUAGAUAGAAAAUAGGUGCCCGUACCGCAAACCGACACAGGUAGUCAAGAUGAGAAUUCUAAGGUGAGCGAGCGAACUCUCGUUAAGGAACUCGGCAAAAUGACCCCGUAACUUCGGGAGAAGGGGUGCUCUUUAGGGUUAACGCCCAGAAGAGCCGCAGUGAAUAGGCCCAAGCGACUGUUUAUCAAAAACACAGGUCUCUGCUAAACCGUAAGGUGAUGUAUAGGGGCUGACGCCUGCCCGGUGCUGGAAGGUUAAGAGGAGUGGUUAGCUUCUGCGAAGCUACGAAUCGAAGCCCCAGUAAACGGCGGCCGUAACUAUAACGGUCCUAAGGUAGCGAAAUUCCUUGUCGGGUAAGUUCCGACCCGCACGAAAGGCGUAACGAUUUGGGCACUGUCUCAACGAGAGACUCGGUGAAAUCAUAGUACCUGUGAAGAUGCAGGUUACCCGCGACAGGACGGAAAGACCCCGUGGAGCUUUACUGUAGCCUGAUAUUGAAAUUCGGCACAGCUUGUACAGGAUAGGUAGGAGCCUUUGAAACGUGAGCGCUAGCUUACGUGGAGGCGCUGGUGGGAUACUACCCUAGCUGUGUUGGCUUUCUAACCCGCACCACUUAUCGUGGUGGGAGACAGUGUCA